AGAAGAGUGCGACUAAGUAGUGACAUGUCUCCUGGAAACUCCCAGCAUUUGUAUGACUUGGGAAACUGCUCAGUCAAUAAUGUCUAUGUACUUAUUAACUUCAGUAAACAUCUUAUUCAUGGACCUUUACAGAUCUCCUGUGAACUUUUGUAAGCUCUUUGCAUUCCCAGUGUCAUAUGGCAAGUUCUGCAGCUUGACUGCCCUGAAUAGGCACCUGGCUGAUCAGGACUCAAGAACCAGCUUAGAAUGAGUGAAGGUGCAAUAGGCUGAAUUACUGGAUUUCUGCUUGAUGUCUGUGUACCCAGGAUUAAAAAAAAAA